AGCAGCCGCGGUAAUUCCAGCUCCAAUAGCGUAUAUUAAAGUUGUUGCAGUUAAAAAGCUCGUAGUUGAAUUUCGGGAUCAAUAUUUCGGUCAUGCCGUUGGUAUGCACUGUUAUCAUUGAUUUCUCACCUUCUAAAGAACCGUAAUGCCAUUAAUUUGGUGUUACGGGGAAUUAGGACUGUUACCUUGAAAAAUUAGAGUGUUUAAAGCAGGCUCACGCUUGAAUACAUCAGCAUGGAAUAAUGAAAUAGGACAUCCGAUUCUAUUUUGUUGGUUUCUAGGAUCGAUGUAAUGAUUAAUAGGGAUAGUUGGGGGCAUUAGUAUUCAAUUGUCAGAGGUGAAAUUCUUGGAUUUAUUGAAGACUAACUACUGCGAAAGCAUUUGCCAAGGAUGUUUUCAUUAAUCAAGAACGAAAGUUAGGGGAUCGAAGACGAUCAGAUACCGUCGUAGUCUUAACCAUAAACUAUGCCGACUAGGGAUCGGAUGAUGUUAAUUUUUUAAUGACUCA
rnacentral:rRNA from 1 species